rnacentral:rRNA from 1 species
UACGUAGGGUGCGAGCGUUAAUCGGAUUUACUGGUCGUAAAGCGUGCGCAGGCGGCCCGUUAAGACAGGUGUGAAAUCCCUGGGCUCAACCUAGGAAUUGCGCUUGUGACUGGCGGGCUCGAGUACGGUAGAGGGGGGUGGAAUUCCUGGUGUAGCAGUGAAAUGCGUAGAGAUCAGGAGGAACACCGAUGGCGAAGGCAGCCCCCUGGGCCUGUACUGACGCUCAUGCACGAAAGCGUGGGGAGCAAACAGG